CCAAUAGCGUAUAUUAAAGUUGUUGCAGUUAAAAAGCUCGUAGUUGAAUUUCGGGGUUAGUAGGCUGGUCAUGCCUCCGGUAUGUACUGGUCUCACUGAUUCCUCCUUCCUGAUGAACCGUAAUGCCAUUAAUUUGGUGUUGCGGGGAAUUUGGACUGUUACUUUGAAAAAAUUAGAGUGUUUAAAGCAGGCUAACGCUUGAAUACAUUAGCAUGGAAUAAUGAAAAAGGACGUUCGAUCCUAUUUUGUUGGUUUCUAGGAUUGACGUAAUGAUUAAUAGGGAUAGUUGGGGGCAUUAGUAUUCAAUUGUCAGAGGUGAAAUUCUUGGAUUUAUUGAAGACUAACUACUGCGAAAGCAUUUGCCAAGGAUGCUUUCAUUAAUCAAGAACGAAAGUUAGGGGAUCGAAGACGAUCAGAUACCGUCGUAGUCUUAACCAUAAACUAUGCCGACUAGGGAUCGGAUGAUGUUAAUUUUUUAAUGACUCAUUCGGCGCCUUACG
rnacentral:rRNA from 1 species